CAUCGAUGUCGGCCUUGGGCAGGCUCACAUCCACAUCUGGACCUUCUCCUUUGAAGCCAGGCAUGCUGAAUUUGGGCAUUUUCACCUUGGGCAUCUUCAGGUGCCAGUCUGGGCCAUGAACAUCCACAUCAGGGGUGUUGAUGUCCACUUUUGGGCCCUUGAUGUCAGCUUCUGGGCCCUUGAGGUCACCUUCCACUUUAGGAAGGGUAACAUCCACAUCGCCCUUCACUUUGGGUCCUUUCAGGUUUAAGUCAAUAUCAGGCAUGGAGAUCUUGGGGGCUUUGAUGUUCAUCUCUGGCAUCUUGAAUUUAGGGCCCUUCAGUUUCGCAUCUGGACCUUCAAUAUUCACAUCUGGAACAUCAACGUCCACCUUGGGUCCUGAGACGUCAAGGUCAGCCUUGGGCAGGUUCACAUCCACUUCUGGACCUUCUCCUUUGAAGCCAGGCAUGCUGAUCUUGGGCAUUUUUAUCUUAGGCAUCUUCAGGUGCCAGUCUGGGCCUUGAACAUCAACAUCUGGAGCAUUAAUGUCCACUUUGGGGCCCUUGAUGUUUAAAUCAAUGUCAGGCAUCGAUAUUUUGGGAGCCUUCAG
rnacentral:lncRNA from 1 species